GCUGCUUAGUCAAUGAGGGCCGCCGUGACUGGAAAAGAAGCAAAGGAAAAGAAUUAUGCGGAUUCCGCGCACUGUGGGAAUCGAUAUUCGAAGGAGGAGUGGCCAGCAGUGGACGCUGCUCCAUCACUGUCUGGGGAGCCACAUCACAGGACGUAUUCAGGCCCUUGGCGCAUCUAGAAGGCAGGUUCAACGCUACCGCGUACAGAGAUAUCCUAGACACUACCGUGCUUCUCCACGUCUUGGACGAGCGCUUUCCGGACAGCUUCUUUUACUACCAGCAAGACAGGAGCCAUGUUCAUAUGGCAACGUCAGUGGCUAGGUUUUUUUUUUAUCAAUGAGGCAUUAUGGCGCUGGAGUGGCCAUCACACAUGCCGACAUGAAUGUAAAGAAAAAUGUCUUCGGUGCCAUAAAGUGGCCCAUGUGUUGUCCACCGCUCCAUGGAGCCCCUGCCGUAGAACCGUAGAAGCCAAGUGGAAUCGUCUGGCGCAUACCGACCUCGCCAUCCGUCCGUUAAACAGCCUGCUCCGCUGUGUGGCGGCCAUCGUGGCUGCUCGAGGCAGCAUGACCAAGUGCUAGUCCAAUACGAGGCCAUAUCCAAGUGAGCAGAUCUAGCGUGCAUAAAGCCAUGAGGGAUGGAAGCCUUCUAUUUCGGGCCACCAUUUUUAAGAAUAAAAGUCGUAUUUAUUCCUUCUA